ACCCCAAGCCUGGCUGCUACCU
rnacentral:miRNA from 1 species